rnacentral:misc_RNA from 1 species
GAUGAAGAACGUAGCGAAAUGCGAUAAGUAAUGUGAAUUGCAGAAUUCAGUGAAUCAUCGAAUCUUUGAACGCACAUUGCGCCUGCCAGUAUUCUGGCGGGCAUGCCUGUUCGAGCGUCAUUUCAACCCUCAAGCCCCCGGGCUUGGUGUUGGGGAUCGGCGUGCCCUCGCGGCGCGCCGUCCCCUAAAUCUAGUGGCGGUCUCGCUGUAGCUUCCUCUGCGUAGUAGCAACACUCGCACUGGAUCGCAGCGCGGCCACGCCGUUAAACCCCCCACUUCUGAAAGUUUGACCUCGGAUCAGGUAGGAAUACCCGCUGAACUUAAGCAUAUCAAUAAGCGGAGGA